ensembl:snRNA U1 U1 spliceosomal RNA
AUACUUACCUGGCAGGGGAAGUAACAUGAUUUCACAAAGGAGAUGUUCACAGGGCAAAGCUCAUCCAUUGCCCUCCAGGGGUGCUGACCCUGCAAUUGUCCCAAACGUGGAAAACUUGCCUGCAGGAUUUGUGAUAAUAGGGGACUGCAUUUGUGCUUUCCCCUG